rnacentral:rRNA from 1 species
CAGCAGCCGCGGUAAUACGGAGGGCGCGAGCGUUACCCGGAUUUACUGGGCGUAAAGGGCGCGUAGGCGGCCUGGGGCGUCCCAUGUGAAAGGCCACGGCUCAACCGUGGAGGAGCGUGGGAUACGCUCAGGCUAGAGGGUGGGAGAGGGUGGUGGAAUUCCCGGAGUAGCGGUGAAAUGCGCAGAUACCGGGAGGAACGCCGAUGGCGAAGGCAGCCACCUGGUCCACUUCUGACGCUGAGGCGCGAAAGCGUGGGGAGCAAACCGGAUUAGAUACCCCGGUAGUCCCUGUCUCUUAUAC